rnacentral:rRNA from 1 species
AUGUGCCCCCUCUGUAGUGUUCUAGAGACGGGCACUCACAUCUUGUUUUCUUGUUCCGCGGCACGAGCUCUAUGGAGCUUUAUUCGGGAGGCACUCGGGCCCGAUUGGGAGGCCGGAGACCUGGCCGAGUUCCUACAAGGCAGGGUGACCCAGCUGGGUCACAAGCGCCGCCUUUUUUGGUGUAUCUUUGUGGCAUUGAUGUGGACUCUUUGGACAACUCUCAACAAAAUGGUAAUUGAGCAGAUCUUUCCACGACGGACUUCUGACUCGUUUUUCAAAUUUCUUACUUUUUUACAGUACUGGCACCUGCUUGCUAGACAUCGGGUCUGCGACCUGCUUGGAAUGAUGUUGGAUGCGCUAGUGGCAGCGGCGCAACAUCUUUCUGCUCCUUGGGCUUGCUUCGGAGUUUGCCACUAG